GAUGAACGCUGGCGGCGUGCCUAAUACAUGCAAGUCGAGCGAACAGACGAGGAGCUUGCUCCUCUGACGUUAGCGGCGGACGGGUGAGUAACACGUGGAUAACCUACCUAUAAGACUGGGAUAACUUCGGGAAACCGGAGCUAAUACCGGAUAAUAUAUUGAACCGCAUGGUUCAAUAGUGAAAGACGGUUUUGCUGUCACUUAUAGAUGGAUCCGCGCCGCAUUAGCUAGUUGGUAAGGUAACGGCUUACCAAGGCAACGAUGCGUAGCCGACCUGAGAGGGGGAUCGGCCACACUGGAACUGAGAGACGGUCCAGACUCCUACGGGAGGCAGAAGUAGGGAAUCUUCCGAAAUGGGCGAAAGCCUGACGGAGCAACGCCGCGUGAGUGAUGAAGGUCUUCGGAUCGUAAAACUCUGUUAGUAGGGAAGAACAAAUGUGUAAGUAACUAUGCACGUCUUGACGGUACCUAAUCAGAAAGCCACGGCUAACUACGUG
rnacentral:rRNA from 1 species